AGCUGCUUGCUCUCAGGUAAAUGCCAGUAUUUGCUGCAGGAAAAAGCAUUAUGUUAUCUUCAUUAAGUUUCUUUUUACAGUUACCUUCUGUUUUUGAAAAAUGGAUUCUGGUGUUUCAUUUAGGGCAAGACAUACUUUCAUUUCCCUUUUGAAAUAAGUAUAUUUUGCUAAAAAGCCAAGUCCAUCCGAGGAAUGAUAGUGAGUUGCGUCGCCUCCCCCCGCCUGCCCUUUCACCCCAAGGAUGAGGAGAGCAGACCGCCUGGUCAGAAGCCUGGACAACCGUGGGCCUCCUUCGCCCACACGCCUUACAUCUCGGGCAUAAAUGAAUACAAAUCUUCCAAGUAGGAACCCCGGCUUUUUCUCCCACUGGCAGAUGUGGCUUUUCAUCCCACCCAAUUGGCAAGGCCUGAGGUUCAGGCUUGAGGGGCUGGGAGGUGGACGGAGCUACCUAACUGUCAGCCCAGGCGCCCGGUGGCCUGCAGGGCAGAUGGGCCCAGCUGCAUUUUUCUGCUUCCCUCUCCCUCCUCCAGCGCCCCCUCAGGUUUUGCAGAGAGGAGGGUGUGCGCCAAAGCAGAAGGCAGGGGUGGGGCCCCGAACCAAUAUAUUGUCGUCUAGCUCCCAUUCCCCAGCUUUUGACUCUGUGUGUCUGGCCCUGUGUUGGAUGCCUCUGUGGACAUCUUGGUUCAACAGGUCCAAAUUCUCCAAACAUGUUCAGGUGGUCCGGGGGUACCAUGAACAGGUUCAGCUUGGCAGGAAGAUUGACCAGGAAGAAGAAAGCUGCACAUAUAACCCCAGCAGCUGCCCAGUGGUUCCCCCACGGGAAUUUAGAGCACAGCUUUCUGUGUGUGUCUCUCUCCCCUUCCUGCCCACCAUGGACAUCUGGGAACAUUUUCAGGCCUCAAAGAAAGACUGGACUAUGUUCAGAAGACUUUGCUACUGAAGCCAAAGGAAGACAGUUAAAUCCUAUUGUAUUAAAAAAGGAAAGAAGAAAGCAAAGAACAAAGAGAAUUUUCUAUUUCAUCCUCCAUGGCACACCUGUUAGAUGACUGUAAGUUCCAUUUCCUCAUCCUGUGCAUACAGGAAAUCUCCACUUCCCAGCUUCAGGGUCACAUGACUGGGGUUAGCCAAUGGGGUGAGGUCAGGAGUGGAUGUACCACUUCCAGACCUAAACAUGGCCAUCCAUCCCUGCCCUUCUUGGCAACUUGAGAGGCCAGGUAUCCAGAUGAUGUGGUCGCAAGACAGAGGGAGCCUGAAGUUCGGAGUCACUGCUUGGAGGAGUCAAAGACAGCCCCUCUGUCCUACCUGGGACUGUGACAAGAGAGAGACAUAAACUGUUCUUUGUGAACACUGGGAUUUUGGUGGUGUUUGCUGUAGCAGUCAAUGCCGAUCACCCUAAUAUGCCCACUUAACAGAAUCCUGUUAACCAGAAACCCUCCUCCCCAAUAAUCAUUGUCAAUAAAGACUGAGAAGUU